UACGUAGGGUGCGAGCGUUAAUCGGAUUUACUGGGCGUAAAGAGCUCGUAGGCGGUAGUUCAAGUCAGGUGUGAAAUCCGACGGCUUAACCGGAGGACUGCACCUGAUACUGGGCUGCUAGAGGUAAGGAGAGGAAGGUGGAAUUCCCGGUGUAGCGGUGAAAUGCGUAGAUAUCGGGAGGAAGGCCGGUGGCGAAGGCGGCCUCCUGGGCCUGUACUGACGCUCAUGCACGAAAGCGUGGGGAGCAAACAGG
rnacentral:rRNA from 1 species